rnacentral:lncRNA from 1 species
CUUUGGUGGGAAAAUGAAUUUGUGGCAGGGCUGCGAUGGAGCUGCGAUAGGCCUGCCAGUCCUUCCACAGCGCGCUAUGGAAACUCAUCGACAAAGAGGACAGCUGGUGCCAGCGGGAGAAUGCUGCGGCGAAUCGGAAAGCAGCCAGGCCCUGGGGAAGUGGAUUCACCCACUCAGGAGCUGGCAGAGGAGCCUUCUGGGGGCCCAGAGGCUGGGUGGGCACCUUGCUGCAUGGGUGUGAGUCUGGGGCUCUGACACCGCCCCAGAGGGGUGUGGGUGGAACGUGCAGUCCCUCACUGUCCGAGCGUGUGAACACUCAGGUGCAACAACUCUGAAGUUAGGAGGAAUGGAGAACAGGACAGGACUGGACUG